AGCAGCCGCGGUAAUUCCAGCUCCAAUAGCGUAUAUUAAAGUUGUUGCAGUUAAAAAAGCUCGUAGUUGAAUUUCGGGGUUAGUAGGUUGGUCAUGCCUCUGGUAUGUACUGGUCUCACUGAUUCCUCCUUCCUGAUGAACCGUAAUGCCAUUAAUUUGGUGUUGCGGGGAAUCAGGACUGUUACUUUGAAAAAAAUUAGAGUGUUUAAAGCAGGCUCGCGCUUGAAUACAUUAGCAUGGAAUAAUGAAAUAGGACGUUGAUCCUAUUUUGUUGGUUUCUAGGAUUGACGUAAUGAUUAAUAGGGAUAGUUGGGGGCAUUAGUAUUCAAUUGUCAGAGGUGAAAUUCUUGGAUUUAUUGAAGACUAACUACUGCGAAAGCAUUUGCCAAGGAUGUUUUCAUUAAUCAAGAACGAAAGUUAGGGGAUCGAAGACGAUCAGAUACCGUCGUA
rnacentral:rRNA from 1 species